AGGAAUAUUGGUCAAUGGGCGUAAGCCUGAACCAGCCAAGUCGCGUGAGGGAUGAAGGUUCUAUGGAUCGUAAACCUCUUUUAUAAGGGAAUAAAGUGCGGGACGUGUCCCGUUUUGUAUGUACCUUAUGAAUAAGGAUCGGCUAACUCCGUGCCAGCAGCCGCGGUAAUACGGAGGAUCCAAGCGUUAUCCGGAUUUAUUGGGUUUAAAGGGUGCGUAGGCGGUUUGAUAAGUUAGAGGUGAAAGCUCGGGGCUUAACUCCGAGACUGCCUCUAAUACUGUUGAGCUAGAGAGUAGUUGCGGUAGGCGGAAUGUAUGGUGUAGCGGUGAAAUGCGUAGAGAUCAUACAGAACACCGAUUGCGAAGGCAGCUUACCAAACUAUAUCUGACGUUGAGGCACGAAAGCGUGGGGAGCAAACAGGAUUAGAUACCCUGGUAGUCCACGCAGUAAACGAUGAUAGCUCGUUGUCGGCGAUACACAGUCGGUGACUAAGAGAAAUCGAUAAGCUAUCCACCUGGGGAGUACGUUCGCAAGAAUGAAACUCAAAGGAAUUGACGGGGGCCCGCACAAGCGGAGGAACAUGUGGUUUAAUUCGAUGAUACGCGAGGAACCUUACCCGGGCUUGAAAGUUAUUGACGGAUCUGGAAACAGAUCUUCCCUUCGGGGCAAGAAACUAGGUGCUGCAUGGUUGUCGUCAGCUCGUGCCGUGAGGUGUCGGGUUAAGUCCCAUAACGAGCGCAACCCUUGCUGUUAGUUGCCAUCAGAGAGGUUUGAGCAAUCAAAUGAGCUGGGCACUCUAACGGGACUGCCGGUGCAAGCCGGAGGAAGGUGAGGAUGACGUCAAAUCAGCACGGCCCUUACGUCCGGGGCGACACACGUGUUACAAUGGUAGGUACAGAGGGCAGCCACCCAGCGAUGGGGCGCAAAUCUCGAAAGCCUAUCUCAGUUCGGAUUGGAGGCUGAAACUCGCCUCCAUGAAGUUGGAUUCGCUAGUAAUCGCGCAUCAGCCAUGGCGCGGUGAAUACGUUCCCG
rnacentral:rRNA from 1 species